rnacentral:rRNA from 1 species
AGCGAACGCUGGCGGCAGGCCUAACACAUGCAAGUCGAACGGACCCUUCGGGGUUAGUGGCGGACGGGUGAGUAACACGUGGGAACGUGCCUUUAGGUUCGGAAUAGCUCCUGGAAACGGGUGGUAAUGCCGAAUGUGCCCUUCGGGGGAAAGAUUUAUCGCCUUUAGAGCGGCCCGCGUCUGAUUAGCUAGUUGGUGAGGUAAAGGCUCACCAAGGCGACGAUCAGUAGCUGGUCUGAGAGGAUGACCAGCCACAUUGGGACUGAGACACGGCCCAAACUCCUACGGGAGGCAGCAGUGGGGAAUCUUGCGCAAUGGGCGAAAGCCUGACGCAGCCAUGCCGCGUGAAUGACGAAGGUCUUAGGAUUGUAAAAUUCUUUCACCGGGGACGAUAAUGACGGUACCCGGAGAAGAAGCCCCGGCUAACUUCGUGCCAGCCGCCGCAGUAAGAC